UAAUAAGGCACAAAGCUUUUUGAAAAAUGUAUCAAAAUGUAUGUGAGAUACAUUUUGAUCCAAGGGUUGAGAUCAAUUCCAAAUAUAUAUCAAUGGUUGAGAUCAAUGGUUGGAGAGAAGCAUUUCCCGCCCAACACAUUUCUGUCUCCCCCAUACCCUCUGUCUCCCCCAUACCCUCUGUCUUCUUCCCAUUCCUACUCUCUGAUGAGAUGUGAAGGUUGACAGAAAAGCACAUACGAAAUUGAUUUGAGAAGGUUGGAGAGAAGCACAACAUUUUAUUGAAUUCAAACAGAGGUGGGCUGAAUUCAAAUUCUAACAGAGGUGGGUUGGAGAGAAGCAGGUUGGAGAGAAGCAAAUUCUGCACAGUUAUUGAACUCAAAAUCAAAAGUUAUUGAAUCCAUAUAUGCUGGGUUCUUAUGCACACUUUUGCCUUCAUCAGAGCUUACCGUUGUUUACUCUGGCUCCAAGUGAAACUCGGCUGCUCGGCUGUUCUUGAUUAACUCGGCUGCUCGGCUGUUCUUGAAACUCGGCUGUUCUUGAUUAACUCGGCUGCUCGGUAAUGUGAAACAUACACUUAAUGAUACAUGCUGGUUUUGCUAAUCUGAUGCUUGAUGAUGAUCAAUGUACUCCAGUGUCCAACAUUCUGCACAAUGUACUCCAAAAAUUCUCCAAAAAUGUACUCGGCUGCACAAGAAUUCUGCACAAUGUACUCCAAAAAAUGAAACCAAUCUGAUGCUUGAUGAUGAUCAAGCGUAGAAAAAUGUCUCUCAACUGAUUAACUCGGCUGAUUUUUCUAUGCUUGAUGAUGAUAUACUCCAAAUAAA